GAGUGAACGCUGGCGGUAGGCCUAACACAUGCAAGUCGAACGGCAGCACAGUAAGAGCUUGCUCUUACGGGUGGCGAGUGGCGGACGGGUGAGGAAUACAUCGGAAUCUACUUUUUCGUGGGGGAUAACGUAGGGAAACUUACGCUAAUACCGCAUACGACCUACGGGUGAAAGCAGGGGAUCUUCGGACCUUGCGCGAUUGAAUGAGCCGAUGUCGGAUUAGCUAGUUGGCGGGGUAAAGGCCCACCAAGGCGACGAUCCGUAGCUGGUCUGAGAGGAUGAUCAGCCACACUGGAACUGAGACACGGUCCAGACUCCUACGGGAGGCAGCAGUGGGGAAUAUUGGACAAUGGGCGCGAGCCUGAUCCAGCCAUACCGCGUGGGUGAAGAAGGCCUUCGGGUUGUAAAGCCCUUUUGUUGGGAAAGAAAAGCAGCAGGUUAAUACCCCGCUGUUCUGACGGUACCCAAAGAAUAAGCACCGGCUAACUUCGUG
rnacentral:rRNA from 1 species